rnacentral:rRNA from 1 species
CCAAUAGCGUAUAUUAAAGUUGUUGCAGUUAAAAAGCUCGUAGUUGAAUUUCGGGAUCGAGGGAUCGGUCAUGCUUUUGUAUGUACUGAUUUCAUCGGUUCUCACCUUCUAAAGAACCAUAAUGUCAUUCAUUUGAUGUUAUGGGGAAUUAGGACUGUUACCUUGAAAAAAUUAGAGUGUUUAAAGCAGGCUCACGCUUGAAUACAUUAGCAUGGAAUAAUGAAAUAGGACAUCAGAUUCUAUUUUGUUGGUUUCUAGGAUCGAUGUAAUGAUUAAUAGGGAUAGUUGGGGGCAUUAGUAUUCAAUUGUCAGAGGUGAAAUUCUUGGAUUUAUUGAAGACUAACUACUGCGAAAGCAUUUGCCAAGGAUGUUUUCAUUAAUCAAGAACGAAAGUUAGGGGAUCGAAGACGAUCAGAUACCGUCGUAGUCUUAACCAUAAACUAUGCCGACUAGGGAUCGGAUGAUGUUAAUUUUAUAAUGACUCAUUCGGCACCUUACG